GGAGCCCUUAAGAACCAAACUUUAAUUGCUUCGAGGCAUGGAAAAGUUUUUUAAUCAUGAAUUUGCGCAUUUUGCAAACGGGUGGUGGGCGGUGGGCGGUGGGCGACACACAUGGCUGACGUGCGUUCUACACCCAACUAAACGUUAGAGUACGCAGCCUGAGACCUUGGUAUCCAUCGGAAUGGAUUAGAAACAACUUUGUCUGCGUCAGAGAGUAUGCAAAAUUAUUGAAAUUGAGCAUUCAAUUUAUUUGCAAAUGGCUUGCCCAUAUAUAUUCAUCCGAACGAACAGCUUUUUCCUUGUUUUUCCGUUUUCCGUUUUUAGGAUUUUGUUUUUUUUUAUGCCACACAGUCAAGCGUAUGUGAAGGCUGGUGGCUGCGGAGGAAGUGCAG
rnacentral:lncRNA from 1 species